rnacentral:lncRNA from 1 species
GUCUGAAAGGUGGGGUGUAAGAAAAUUGGAGGGAAACCAAACAGGUGACAAACAAUUGUACUUUCAGCAAACAUAUUGUAUAAAAGAUAAACAUUUUUCUCUCUCUGUGUCCUCUUUUCUGAAAAAUACUGUAGGCUAUCUGUGUUUUUCUCACAAUUAUUACAGAUUAACAUUUUAGGGAGGGAAUAAAGUUGCUCAGUAAAAUUUACAGUCAUGUAUCCAAGACCUUAAGACCGUUUGGAUGUGCUCCGUUUGUGUUAAAUAAUGCAUCAAACAGACACUCUAAGUCAAGACAACCACACUGACUGAACUUUGACGCCCUUUUCUCGCACUUUCAGCAAACUUGCAGUUGCUGCCUGUAUUAAAACAGCCUCACUUUAUGGACUGAGGUCAUUUGACCAGAGAUGGAAGACAUGGAGAAGCUGCAGAUCAAACAGUAUUCUGUCUGACAGGAGGAGAUAAAGAGACUGUCAGCCUCGCUACAGAACAAAGCAGCCUCUCACCUCUCUGGCCCACAUCGGCUCCCUGACGGCCAGUGAUGCAGUGCUAAAUCAAAAGGUUGGUAAACUAAGAUGAACGUCAAAAGACUUUUGCAAUUCCAACAUCCACCGUCAUGAAAGAUUUAUGAUUUAACAAAGAGGUUUGUUACAUGGGCUUGUAUCCAUUUUGGAAAAAUGCUUCUAUGCACUGUUUAUGUGUGAAUAUAUCAGGGAUACAGGUGCUCUAAAGAAAUGUUUACUUCACUUAAUGCCUUCCUCAGUUUGAUCUUUUUCUUUGGCUAAUUUAGUGAGGCUUCAUGUUACAUUUAACCAGAAUAAAAGAAUGCACCUUUUCUUCAUUAGCAGUUUUAUUAUGAAAACAAACCUCAAACAAACUGCAUCUAUUUCUCUCCAAUGACUGCUUGAUUCAGCAAGUUCAUGCAGGUUUUCUGGGUGUUCUCCAGAUGUAUCAGGUUUAAGAGACAGGUGUUGAUAUUACAUGUACGUGCCAACAACCUUUAAAUUGCAUAACUUGCAAAUGAGAGUUGGAGAAAGACUCGGUAGGCAUCUUUUCUCGGGGGUAUAAUACAGGACUGAUAGAGCUGCUGCUCAAGUUAUUUUAGGUUACUGCGAUGUGUACAGAGUACUUAUCUGCAGCAACAGUGAGAUGGUUUGGGGAUGAUUCGUUCUGUGCAGUAUGUCUGUCUCAUGUCCAUUUAAACUGCAAACGUCAUCCAGAAAUAAUCCCCAGACACGAUUAUCAGUUACUCAAAACCGUUGACAGUGUGGUUUGUGGAUUAAAGACAUUUAACAGACACUGUGGGUGACACUUGUUUUAAAAUUUGGAUAUCAAAAUGAAACUUUUUGUGGAGCUGAAAACCUCACAGAAUGGAUUUUUUUGGACUUAAAAAAUCUGUUCACACUUUUAACUUCUACACUUGCAGUUGUGUGCACUCUGUUUCAGAGUAUACUGUUCGAAGUAAAGGGGCUGCUGUGAGGGGGAGGUUUGGGAUGGAUUGUAACACUUUGUGAGCUUUUUCCAGGAGACAUCAGGUUGCACUUUUUAAACCUUUUUAAUGCAUUGCUUUUCAGGAGCAUUAGGGCUACUAUGUGGUUUUAGGUGGGGACAGGAGAUGCAUAAUCUAAAAGUUAACUGCUGUGUGGCAUAGUUUUCUCUUUCUCCAAAAUAAAGUGUCUAAAAAGGUUAUAUAAAAGUCUCAUAAAAUACUUUUUUAUUCAUAUAGGGCAAAUGUUAGACUAACAUGUUUGAAUAAACAUUAAAUCACAAAUUCCUAAAUCAGAUCAACUAGCCAACACUGGGAAAUGGUGCUAGAAAACACACACAUGCAUUAGCCUGCUUGUUUCCCUCCUAUAAGGAGUGUAAGGGGCACGGAGAAGCUGCAAAGCUAAGAGGAAUGAUCCACUAUGACUUUAUUCUCUCUUAAAACUCACGAUGAUCCAUUCUUUGUCAAAAUAAAAGCAUAAUGUGACACAUUGAUCUUGACGACACACUGCAGAACCUGCUCAUGCGUCAAGACUUUGUAAGCGUGAAGCAUCUCAGCUGUGAUCUGCUGUCACAUAGUAAAAGUCUGACUGAUGAGACUUUAUCUGUGGUGCUUCUUUCAGAGUGGCGUUACACUCGCCGCCUUGUCAGAAAGUGAUUAAUGGAUCCAAAAGGACAUGAUGGCCUGGAUAUCAAACUGUGUACUGUACAGAGAAUAUAGAUUUUCCUCUGAGCCGGGGUAUGUCUGUUUGUGUUGAUAAAG